GCAUUGGUGGGAUACUACCCUAAUUGUAUUGGAUUUCUAACCCGCAGCACUUAUCGUGCUGGGAGACAGUGUCAGGCGGGCAGUUUGACUGGGGCGGUCGCCUCCUAAAGAGUAACGGAGGCGCUCAAAGGUUCCCUCAGAAUGGUUGGAAAUCAUUCAUAGAGUGUAAAGGCAUAAGGGAGCUUGACUGCGAGACCUACAAGUCGAGCAGGGUCGAAAGACGGACUUAGUGAUCCGGUGGUUCCGCAUGGAAGGGCCAUCGCUCAACGGAUAAAAGCUACCCCGGGGAUAACAGGCUUAUCUCCCCCAAGAGUUCACAUCGACGGGGAGGUUUGGCACCUCGAUGUCGGCUCAUCGCAUCCUGGGGCUGUAGUCGGUCCCAAGGGUUGGGCUGUUCGCCCAUUAAAGCGGUACGCGAGCUGGGUUCAGAACGUCGUGAGACAGUUCGGUCCCUAUCCGUCGUGGGCGUAGGAAAUUUGAGAGGAGCUGUCCUUAGUACGAGAGGACCGGGAUGGACAUACCUCUGGUGUACCAGUUGUCGUGCCAACGGCAUAGCUGGGUAGCUAUGUAUGGACGGGAUAAGUGCUGAAAGCAUCUAAGCAUGAAGCCCCCCUCGAGAUGAGAUUUCCCAACUUCGGUUAUAAGAUCCCUCAAAGAUGAUGAGGUGAAU
rnacentral:rRNA from 1 species